UCAAUGUUCAACAAUAGUAUAAGAUUAUGAAGGAACAUGAAUUAAUAAUCAAUAAUUGAAUAUUCGAUAAUUGAAUAACAUGAACUGAGUGGUUUUGAAUAACCAUGAACAUUUGCCAAAGUGCUCAGUGAUUUAAACUGGACCUCUUAAUAAGUUUUGGUAUUCAAGGGGAUCAGUCUUUCAUACCUCGUGAUUUAUGCAUAAACACUUAAUAAU
rnacentral:lncRNA from 1 species